rnacentral:sRNA from 1 species
UACAACGAAUCUUUUCGUUUUCAGUUUUUUAUGCUGACUUUCAUUCAAAGGAGUAUUACUACUUUAGAGGGAGGGGGUAUUGCGUCGUAUCAAAUCACAGGCAUAAAAAAAGCGCCCUGAGGCGCUUUUUUGUU